rnacentral:rRNA from 1 species
AGAGUUUGAUCCUGGCUCAGGAUGAACGCUAGCUACAGGCUUAACACAUGCAAGUCGAGGGGCAGCAUGGACCCAGCUUUGCUGGGUUUGAUGGCGACCGGCGCACGGGUGAGUAACGCGUAUCCAACCUGCCCUUUACUCCGGGAUAGUCUCCUGAAAGGGAGUUUAAUACCGGAUGUGUUUGUCUUUCCGCAUGGGAGCGACAAAUAAAGAUUAAUUGGUAAAGGAUGGGGAUGCGUCCCAUUAGCUUGUUGGCGGGGUAACGGCCCACCAAGGCGACGAUGGGUAGGGGUUCUGAGAGGAAGGUCCCCCACAUUGGAACUGAGACACGGUCCAAACUCCUACGGGAGGCAGCAGUGAGGAAUAUUGGUCAAUGGGCGGGAGCCUGAACCAGCCAAGUAGCGUGAAGGACGACGGCCCUACGGGUUGUAAACUUCUUUUAUAAGGGAAUAAAGUUCGCCACGUGUGGUGUUUUGUAUGUACCUUAUGAAUAAGCAUCGGCUAAUUCCGUGCCAGCAGCCGCGGUAAUACGGAAGAUGCGAGCGUUAUCCGGAUUUAUUGGGUUUAAAGGGAGCGUAGGCGGGCUUUUAAGUCAGCGGUCAAAUGUCGUGGCUCAACCGUCAAGCCGUUGAAACUGUAAGCCUUGAGUCUGCACAGGGCACAUGGAAUUCGUGGUGUAGCGGUGAAAUGCUUAGAUAUCACGAAGAACUCCGAUCGCGAAGGCAUUGUGCCGGGGCAUAACUGACGCUGAGGCUCGAAAGUGCGGGUAUCAAACAGGAUUAGAUACCCUGGUAGUCCGCACGGUAAACGAUGAAUGCUCGCUAUGGGCGAUAUAUUGUCCGUGGCCAAGCGAAAGCGUUAAGCAUUCCACCUGGGGAGUACGCCGGCAACGGUGAAACUCAAAGGAAUUGACGGGGGCCCGCAC